CAGGACCAUGGCCAGUAAUUGGAGUAUUUGUGGUGUCUGUAAUUAUCGUCAGUUUACCAAGCCAUCAGUAGUCUGGUGUUCCGAAUGUGACGAAGGGCUAUGCGGUGGUUGUAACGAACAUCAUAGUAUUUCCAAGGCUUCAAGAAACCACGAAACUGUUUCCAUUGCCGAAUACAAGAAGUUACCGAAAGAGAUUCUCCAAAUCGCCACUGUCUGCAAAAUACAUAACGAGAAAUACGAACUUUUCUGUGGAAAACACGAUUGUCCGUGCUGUAAGAAAUGUGUGAAAUCUCACAACGAUUGUAAAGGUUUAACCGACAUCAAUGAAAUCAUAAAAAACGUCAAAACUUCAAACGCCUUUAAUGAAAUCGAAGAAACUGUGGUAGAAGUAGCUGAAAAUAUUAAACGGAUCAAAACUAAUCGAGAAAAUAACUUAACAUCGUUAGAAAAACAGAGAAGAGAAAUUGAAGAACAAAUAAAACAAACCAGGACAGUGAUAAAUCGUCAUCUUGAUGGUCUUCAUGAUGAUUUGAUGAAAGAAUUAAAAUCAGCCGAACAAAAAGAGAACACCAAAAUACAGAAAUUGUUAACUGAUAUAAAAAUAAAGGAAAGAGAUAUUACAGAAUUCAAAGAAAACAUUGCUAAUAUUAAACAGCAUGCGUCAGAACUGCAAACCUUUUUGGCAAUAAAACAUUUCGAAACAGUUAUUUCCGUAGCCGAAAAAUUCAUUCACUCGAUUGUCAAAAGUGACUCCACAAACCAAGCCAAUAUUUCAUGCCAAUUUACCAAGUCUUUAGCACAAAUCACAUCCAGCGUACAGAGGUUUGGAGAAAUUAAUGUCAGCUCUAAUCCAUGUGAUUUUUCCUUUAAGAAACGGAAGGACAGACAAGCCCAGAUUAUGGUAGCUCUUCCAACAAGGAAUAUUGACAACCUGAUAGUGACGUUACAGAAACGUAUCAAUACAAAGUUGUCAAAUGUCCGAGGUUGUUCACUGCUCCCAGAUGGCAGGAUGGUAUUCUCUUGUUAUAAACAAGACAAAAUAAGCGUAUUUAAGGCUGACAGAUCAACGGAUUUUGAAAUAAAUAAUAUUGGACAUACGUUUGAUGUGGUAUUUAUCGGUGAUGAUUCUAUUGCUGUUACAUCUUGUAAAAAGAUAAAUAUAAUUGACACAAAGAACAAAAAAUUAAAGAAAACAAUCGAAGUUACAUCAGACAUUGAUGGUGUAGUAUACAUAGAUGGACAUUUAAUUUAUUGU
rnacentral:lncRNA from 1 species